AGCUUCUUUACAACAGAAAUAAUACAAUGUUCAACAUGUUUUUCUUUCCCUUUCAUAACCAGGAGACUCCAGAGGUCCCCACUCCUGAAUCCUGCCAGGUAAUACUUUUUAAAACUGAUUAUGAAGCCCAGUAUAAAGGCCAAACAUAACAACCCCCUACCCAGCUCAACAGCUCUGCUUUCUCCCCUUAUUUAUGGGCACAAACAUAAAAGUUUGGGUGUUGCAGUACUUUUUAUGAUCAAGGGUUCAGUUCAUCUAACAAUCAUUUUUUUCUUUCUCCUAAAUAGGAGACACCCCAGGAAUCUGGCACUACCAUCUGCCAGCCUGAAGUCCCUGAGGCAGAGCAAGUGGAUGCUCAGAUCACCAAGGUGAGCCACAAAGCCUUUUAUGAAGUUUCAGCAGAAAGAUCUAAUUAAUCAUUUUUAUCAGUUUAUAUUUCAAGGGCCUGUAUCCCCUUUUUAAUCCUUCUGUAUAAUAAGCUACUCAUCUCAAAGUCUAAUUCUUCAGCUUGGGGGGAGACAGGGGAUUGUUUAUACAGAUGAUUUCUCAGGUCAAUAUGUGAGCUUGGCUGCAUUAACUAACAUUGGUGCCACCCAGUAAAUUAACCUUUUCUUGUCCUUCAAGGAAAAUUUUUGCAGUUCCACAAAAUACGUUGAUCUGAUUAAACUUUUUUUUUCUUCCCCAGGAGCAUGAAACAGCCUCACUUGCGGACAGAUUCCCAGUAAGCAGCUGUAAAACUGUAUUUUGGAACAUUAAAAGAUGCAGUAGCACAACUGUUAUGGAUACUUAAAUAUUCCAGCCCUUGUUCUCCCCUCCAUUUCCCAGUUUCCUCCUACACCUCCUGUGCUUCCCUCAUGUUGGAAAGGUGCAACUGCAUUAUAUUAGUUUAAUAUUGUAGUUAUUGUGCUUUCAAAUACUAUUUUAUUUUUUAGGAACCCGGAAGAUUCCUUAAAUUAGGGGAGCCUAUAGGAGAGGACCCCAAUGGAGUCAUUUAUGUUGUAAGAUAUUUUACUCAGUGUUAAAAUUGUGUAUUUUGUCUCAUGCUUUUGGGUGACUCUGUAAUGUUGCCUAUUGCUUGUACCCUCUAGCGUUGUCCUUAUAUUUGUGUUUUUCUUGUGGUUCUAAAGCUGCCAAUAAACCUUCCCAUUACCACACACUAUAUCUGUUUGCUUUCCCAUACUGUUCCAUUAGUAAUGAUCACAGAGCUUCUUUCCCUACUUUUUGUUACAGGCAUGGCUCCGCAGCCAAAGAAAGGAGGUGGCCGUUACCAUCAUUCAGGACGUGGAGGUAAUGUGUCCUUAUAUGAUUACUCUAAAUAGAUACUAAUUAGCCUUUUGUUAUACCAACAUUAUGGCUAUCAUUAGAAGAACUUUCUAACCAGCUAUCAGCAUGUUCCCAUUUUGGCACCAAUCAAUGAAAUACCCCGACCCCUAAUAACUAUGUAAAUGUAAAAAUAAGUAGCAAAUACCGAUUGAAUACUUUAUGGGAUAUAGGAAAUAAAAUAACAGGGAGAGUCAGUCAUAUUGGGCAAUUCUCAUGUAGUGAGUAUUACAGGGCUGUCAUUCUUCACAACUAUAAGUUAGUUUGGGGUAUCUGAAAUGGUAAAUGUGUCCAUUUAAUUUACUUUGUUUCUUUUGCUUGAAACUAGAAGCAGAAAAAGAUCCUCAAUGAAAUCGAGGUACAUCAGAAGAUCUCGGGCCACAGAAACAUCAGCGAUUUUUAUGGGGCAUUUUAUGUUACCUCUGUGAGACCAUCACCAUACGAAGGACUGUGGGUAAGUACAGAUUUAUUCAGAUAGGUUACACAUUUAUGCACCUAAUAUAUUUAUUAUAAACAAGGGUCCAGCACAUGUGACCACUUCUCAGUAGCACCUGAUGCUGCAGUCACACCCAGAAUGUUUGUGUUGCCUAUAUCUCACUUACAGCCACAUAUAAAAUAGUAGGACAGACCUACGCAAAUCUAUGUGCCAAAAAUUCUUUAUUUGUGUUGUAGGUUUCUACUGAGAUUUGUACUGGUGAAACAGUGCAGUCUCUCAUUAACACCAGGAAAUCCAUUGGUCCUGGAUGGAUCUCCUACAUCUGUAAGGAGAUACUAAAGGGCCUGUGUCAUCUGGAAAGGCAAGAGGUAAUCCUCCAUGAUCUCAGCUUGAAGAAUAUUGUCAUCACUUCAAGCGCAGACGUGAAAAUCUGUAAGUGAUGCUUAGAAUCUGAAAAAAAUGGACGUUUUUUUCUUCAUGUUGUUUAUUGUUGGGAUUGUAUUUAUAUAUGAACAUUAACAUUCCUGCUUUUGCCAUACAAUUUCAGGUGAGUUUACCUUUGCCACGCUGGGAGGAAGAAGCAGUAGCACAUCUGGCCCUUUACCAUACAUGGCGCCAGAAGUGCUCGCUAAUUUCGGAGACACCAGCGUUCCGUACGAUUGUAAGGUAUUGUGAUGUCUUCUCUCUUGCUUUUUAUUUUAGAGUUAAUGUCACCUUUAUAUAAAAUGUAUGUAGCUUACACAAGAGGAACUGCAUGGAAUGUUCUGCUCACUCACUUACAUGCCCCUCUCAUAACAGCAAAUCCAAAGCUGUAAUGUGGUUCUCAUGAUAUGAGAGGGAAAUCUGAAGUAAGAGAGUGAAAUGCAUUUAAAGUGCAGGGAAUAAGAAUAUAAGACACUAAGUCCCUUCAUCUUCUUACACUUUAUGGGGGUUUUUAACUCCAUGUAACACACACGACUCUCAGAUUUAUUAUCAUGUGCCCCUGUGUAUAUUCUUCUCUAAUACUUGUCUUUUCCUCUUAAUUUAAUAUCCAGGCCGACAUCUGGUCUCUGGGGAUUGCGGCCAUCUAUAUGGCUGAAGGGCAUCUCCGUAAGUAAACCCUAGUGUGUGUAUUAUACUGCGUAACUGUUAGUAGAAGGGUCAGAGGGCCUGUAUGUGUUAUGUUGUAACAUGAAAUAUUAUUAAAUAUAAAUAACUAAGGGUCUGAUUUACUAAAAUUUUAAUUUGCAUUAUUUCCACAAAAUAUAUACACAAUCGUUAGAGGCAUAAAAACCUUGAAUUUGAUUUUUUGAGCUCAAAAAUGUCCCAAUUUAGAGAAUCUAAAAAACAAUAAUGAAAAAAUUAGCUAAAAACUGGCGAGCUCCUGUGUAAGUCAUUGAGUGGCGUAAUUUCCAUUGUCAUGUUAUUUGAAAUGCCCGAAAAAUCGAGAUUUUAAUAAUUAUUUUCUGAUUCCUUUAAAACACAAGGAAAAAAACCACAAUUGAGUUUUAUCAGGAUUCAAAACUGCUUGAAAAUUUAAAUGAAAGUAAAUCACCCUCCAUAAGUUGUAUUUGUCAAUCAUCAUAUUCUCAUGCUGUGUUUUCUUCUAACGUAGCAUUCUGCAAACUUCCCAGAGCAAAACUGAUCAGGCGCGUCAUUCACGGUCCCGCGCCAACAUCAUCACGGGACAAAUGGAGUAACAACUUCCAUUCCUUUGUGAGUGAGUGCCUGCAGAAGAGUGCGGAGAGACGGCCAACUGCGAGGCAGCUUCUUGCGCACCCCUUCAUCUCAGAGCUCUGGGAUGAAAGGGGUGUAAAGAGGAGCCUCAUGAGACAUCUGCAGUGAGGUAGGGGAACCCCUCAUUCUCAUUAUAGUUCCCUUGAUGUAUAGACUAUAACCAACUACUGCUAUUAUUUAUAUAAUAUUCUCUGGCUUUCCCACAUACACAAUCAUUCUGUAACUAAAGCCGCCAGUAAUAAAGGCUUAGAUUGUAUUAGGGCAGAGGUAACUAAACUAAGCCAAAUCUAGGGGACAUUCAAACAAGCUGUGAUGGGAGAACAUGUUAUUAUUAAAUAGUUGUAGUUGGCCUUUAAAUUAGCAUGUAAUAGAGCAUGAAAUGGCAACAAUUGUAAAUGCAAAUAAUAAAAAUGAACAAAUUGCAGAAUUAUUACAAACAGCUACUCCAUGGCUAACACUGAGCAAUCUUUCCUUAGGCCUGACUCCACGAAGCCAUAAAACAACUUGGCUGCCAAUGGGGGAGGGACAGGGGCACAUACAGGGGUCCUAAAUACCAUCUUUGGACCCCUGCAUAACAUCUUGGUCCCGUUGGCAGCCCUUUGUGUUGGCUUCUUCAUGAACAACUGCAUCUUCUGACAAAUGCAUCUGAGAAACAGCGGCUCUAGAAGAUCGACGUAAGUAUGGCAUUUAUUGUCAUGUUUUAUUCUUUGUUUAUUCUUUGUACAUUUUCAAAGAGGAAUGUAUUGAUUGCAUAAAUGCUUUGCUUAUUGUAUAUUAAUCUUUCCUUAGGCCUGACUCCACGAAGCCAUGAAACAACUUGGCUGCCAACGGGGGAGGGACGGGGGCACAUACAGGGGUCCUAAAUACCAUCUUUGGACCCCUGCAUAACAUCUUGGUCCCGUUGGCAGCCCUUUGUGUUGGCUUCUUGAUGAACAACUGCAUCUUCUGACAAAUGCAUCUGAGAAACAGCGGCUCUAGAAGAUCGACGUAAGUAUGGCAUUUAUUGUCAUGUUUUAUUCUUUGUUUACAUUUUCAAAGAAGAAUGUAUUUAUGGCAUAAAUGCUUUGCUUAUUGUAUAUUAAUCUUUCCUUAGGCCUGAAUCCACGAAUCCAUAAAACAACUUGGCUGCCAACGGGGGAGGGACGGGGGCACAUACAGGGGUCCUAAAUACCAUCUUUGGACCCCUGCAUAACAUCUUGGUCCCGUUGGCAGCCCUUUGUG